AGUGAACGCUGGCGGUAGGCCUAACACAUGCAAGUCGAACGGCAGCACAGUAAGAGCUUGCUCUUACGGGUGGCGAGUGGCGGACGGGUGAGGAAUACAUCGGAAUCUACUUUUUCGUGGGGGAUAACGUAGGGAAACUUACGCUAAUACCGCAUACGACCUACGGGUGAAAGCAGGGGAUCUUCGGACCUUGCGCGAUUGAAUGAGCCGAUGUCGGAUUAGCUAGUUGGCGGGGUAAAGGCCCACCAAGGCGACGAUCCGUAGCUGGUCUGAGAGGAUGAUCAGCCAUACUGGAACUGAGACACGGUCCAGACUCCUACGGGAGGCAGCAGUGGGGAAUAUUGGACAAUGGGCGCAAGCCUGAUCCAGCCAUACCGCGUGGGUGAAGAAGGCCUUCGGGUUGUAAAGCCCUUUUGUUGGGAAAGAAAAGCAGCAGGUUAAUACCCCGCUGUUCUGACGGUACCCAAAGAAUAAGCACCGGCUAACUUCGUG
rnacentral:rRNA from 1 species